GGGGGGCCGCACUCCGGACGAGAGGACCGCCGUACCCGGUGAGGACAAGACGGCGCGGG
rnacentral:ncRNA from 1 species